rnacentral:lncRNA from 1 species
AUGUAACUGGGACAUCAAUACUUUUCUUUCUCCUGAUUCCAGAAUUCUGUGCUUUAGGUUCUUCUUAGAUCCAGAAGUUUGUCUGGAUCAAAGUACUUUGUGAUUUUGAAGACCUAAAUGGGGCCAUAACAAAGUUUGGUGCUCUGCAGUGAGAAAAAGAUCAUGUAUACAUUUCUGCAUAAUAAAAUGAAAACCAAGAAAGCUUAUACUGUGGCAGCCCAACAUCAAAUGCGUCGAGGACGUGAAGACACACACAAGCACUGAUGUAUUACUAAAAUGGAUAAUGUACAUGGAAUUAGAUACUUCAUCUAAUUCAGAAUUCAGUGGACCCAUUGCAAAGCAAAAAGAUGCAGAGUACAUAACCUAUAAAGAAUCACGUAUCGUCUAACCCUGACUCUGAAAAAGGGAUUAACGCCUGAGGAGGGAGAGUAUGGGGGAGGACUACUAUACCACCUCAUGCACUGGCAGGUCGUCCGUAAUUUGUUACACUUUGUUCUCAGUUUUAGGGUCUGACUGGACACAGUAGUGAUGUCUUUUCAAGUUAUUUAUUUUGCGUGGUUUAACACUGUCAUACUGCUAGUAAGAUAUCUGGGACCUGUGAGUGCACUUUGAAAACCGGAUUCUCAGGUCUCUGUAAAUCUUCCGAUUUCCAGUGGUUCAAGGAGGAUUAAGAGUUAUGUCACACAGAAAGGAAAAAAAGUUAGUCUCUCGUUAGUUCUCAUUAAUUUCUUCCAGCUAUAAGGGGUGCACCAGCCAUGAAAAAGUGUCUCAUUAGUCCUGUGCUAGAAGUCACUGGGAAAGGCAACUGGACAGCUUCAGGCGGGGUGUUCUGUUUGGGUAGUGAUUUCUAGAGGUUUCACGACUGGGAAAGCCAAGAGACUUUUAUAGGGUUCCUCAUUUCUCCUGGAAAUAAGGACCUAGGGCCACCUUUCAGAAGAUGAUGACAGAUACAUUAAAUGACUGACACAAUUCAGGUUUCUAACUGAAUGAUUAAAAUGGGAGGAAGGCACAUUCUUGCACACGUUUGAAAAUCCAUCAGAUACGUAUUUGCAUAUUUAGGCACCGAAAUGCCUUUGGUUAGUUGCUUCUUCUCUGUAGAAUGCUACAGGACUGCUCUUUUCUUGUUUUCAAAGGAGUUUAAAUGUUACAUUAUUUAAUAUUCUUAUAGACAUAUUUCUUACCAUUUUCUGAAAUAUUUAGAAAGCUGCUGAAUCAUUAGCAAAGGAAGUUCGCCUGUUUUACAAAAGACAUUGUUUUAGAAAACAUUUCUGCCUUUUUUCUCUUCCCUUUGAUUUGAAGAGGUUAUUUGGGCUGUAGCUCAAGUGUGUCUGAGUGUCUGUCUCUCUGUUCACCUUAUCUGGGAUGCAAAUUGGACACUUAGAAAUGUUGCUGCUUUGAUUCAAUUUAUGGGAGGGCAAACUAAAAAGGAAUGAGAUUCUCAGAUCUUUGCAAGUUUAUUUGUUGACCGUAGCAAUGUUUAAUUAAAUAUAUUUAUGUAAUAUCUUUAUGCAGAUCUAAAGAUUUCAAUUUUCUUGUCAGGCGGGUUUCUGCUUUUACCUAAGUAUUACAGCUGCACAGACAGGAACAAAGAUGCCAGUACAUUGAAAUAUCAGUAAAUUGUUAAGGACCUCCUGGGCUCACAGUUUCCAUCUAACUAGGGAUGACGUAUUCUUAAUUUUUGUAGCUUUCUGUGGUUAUAUACAGCCAAUCAAUUGUAAUUUUGGCGCUGGAAUUAGUGGUAGGAAUCAACCUUUAACACCAACUCUUAACACAACGCUAUCUGAAAUAUCCACCUCCACCCACGCAUAAAUCAUAUAGUGCCAACAGCUAACCUAUAGUUAUGAUUCCAGCAUUUCAUGUGACAGUCUGAGGUAACUGUUGGUAAAGAUUCGAUUUUUAAUGGCAGAGCUUUUAACUCCGCUCUCUGCAGAACCCUUGCAAGUUAAGUUAAAAAUAGCGCUGCCGUAUGGAUUGUUAACCUGAAGGUCAUAGUAAUGCUCACUUUGCGGAGAGCAAGACAGAAGAUUUUUUUUUCCUUUUGCAACAGUAACUAAAAAUGUUGAAAAGGCUUAGAAUCACUGCAAAAGAGAUGCGUACAAACCUGCUUCAGGCCAUAUUAAGGUAUCGUCUGUUUUAAGAGAGGAGAGAACUUCAAAAUCUGGCUCACAUCCUCAGCUGCGCUGACUGGCAGCAAGUUUGCCUAUAAUUCGGCUUUGCACUUUCAGUGCACAGCAGAUUGCAGGACACAGUUUUGCAGUUGGAGAGGCUCACUAUGGGGCAUGUAACAUUUGGGACUGUUGAAACCCAUUUUGUCCUGGAGCUACUUCUUCCUAACAGUACUACGAUUACCAGAAACCCUUUGUUACCCAAUUAGAUAUGUUUAAGAUUACCUUUUGGUACUGAUAUUCACAGGCCUGCUGUAUUAUUUUCCAUUAUUUUGUCCUUAGAAUAAUGAAAUGUUAAAGGAAAAGAGGAAUCCUUCAUAUUAUAUGGCUGUCACAGAAAAGUCAGCCUGGCUAUGAAGUAAAAGAGCAAACCAAUAAGGAACAGCUAAAUAAAGAGUAAUAUUUAAUUCA